rnacentral:lncRNA from 1 species
CACUGACUGAGAACAAUCAAACCCUUCACAAUCUAGAACCUGGAGAUUCUGAGAACAUCAGAGAAAGACCGCCCUUGCCACUCAUACUUCAGCAAAACUUUGGCACCUUGGACCUUGGGUUCAUAAUCUCACAACUCAGAAGGACCCCUCCAGACUCUUAGAACUGUAUACCCCUUGGAGAUGGAUUCUGCAGCCAGCUUUACACAUGGACAAUCUCAUGCCUUGACAGAUGGUUAUCAUAUCAUUUGUGACAUAUACAGACAAGCUAUGAGAGUGAAUGUA